rnacentral:lncRNA from 1 species
CGACGUCUUUACUAUUUUACUAUUACUACUUUACUAUUUAGAAGAUAUGUGGACGAUAACAUCAUAAUGAGAGAGAAGAAACAUACCAAUAUAGAUAUCGAAUACCUGUUCUCCGAUCAAAGUUUAGGACUAAGACUAAAGAAAGUGAAAGGAGACCAAACGGAAAUAAAUUAUCUAGACCUAAAGAUAAAAAUUGUAAGAGGAGAGUAUCAAACAGAAGUCCACAGGAAAGAUACCUAUAUCCCCCCUGUUCAUACAUAAACAAUCCAAGGAGCCAUGGCAUGUAAAAAUGGCAUCAUUUAGGGCCCUUCUGAACAGAGCAAAGACACACUGCACAACAUAGGAAAGCGCAAGGGAAGAAAACGAAUGGAUCAUUAAACAAGCAGAAGCACAUGGUUACAACCGGAGAGACAUAGUAAGGCUAAAAGAAAAGAUGGAAAAUAAGAGGAGAAGAAAGAAUAGUGAAACACAGGAUAGUGAAAAGCAAAUGCAGAACCCCUACGUAAUUGAAACCAAAUCCUUUACUCCUAAAAUAUAAAAAAAGGAUUGAGAAAGCGGCCGGCAGAGAAAUCCUAAUGACAAGAAGAAAUAACAUUUUUAAUGUUAUUAGGAACGAUAAAGAUAGAAGGAACCCUAUAGACAAGCCAGGUGUGUACAGGAUUAAUAUAGACAAUAAAGAUACUUGCCAAGAAGAGGUAUACAUAAGCUCAACGAUUAAAACAAUUAGCAAAAGAAUUAAAGAACAUAAAGAAGACAGGGAGAAAGAGAAGAAAACAAC